GGGGACCUGCGGAAGGAUCAUUG
rnacentral:rRNA from 1 species